GCUUUUCUGUGGCUCAGUCAGUCGAGCACUGUGCUAGCAACUCACAGGUUGUGGGUUCUAACCCCAGGGAAAGCA